UACGUAGGGCGCAAGCGUUAUCCGGAAUUACUGGGCGUAAAGCGUGCGUAGACGGUUAUGUAAGUCAGAUGUGAAAGCCCCGGGCUUAACCUGGGAAUUGCAUUUGAGACUGUAUAGCUAGGAUGCGGAAGAGGGAAGCGGAAUUUCCGGUGUAGCGGUGAAAUGCGUAGAUAUCGGAAGGAACAUCAGUGGCGAAAGCGGCUUCCUGGUCCAGCAUCGACGUUCAGGCACGAAAGCGUGGGGAGCAAACAGG
rnacentral:rRNA from 1 species